ACUACUUUUCUUAUACCAUUUGUUUGUUUACCUUCGUUUUUCCACUAUAAAAGAGCGUCUCCGGAAGAUGAGAAAGUAUAUUUUCUUGUCUUCUACAGAGAGUAAGAAAGCUAAAUUUCAUCAUGCAUUACCUGUUUGCUAUCCUUGUGUUGGUUGCCCUGAUGGCAGUGGCCUUCGCCCAGUGGCCUUAUUAUGGUUCUUAUUAUAACACUCCUGCUCUUGCCUAUCCUUAUGCCUAUAACUAUGGCGUCUACAACCCCGCUUUGACCUACUUCUGAAAGAAAUGAACGUAAAAUAUCAGCAAUUUCCUGGGCUGUAGUAGCUGACGAUUGUAACGAAAGAGGAAUGAAAAGCGAAACCAAUUAAAAUGAAAGAUGAUUGCAAUAAAAUUGAUCUAAUUUUUUAACUUACCACAUCCGUUUGCUGUGUUCCUAUUUUUACUUUUAGAAAUAAAACAGUAAUAUAAAAA